GUGGGGAAUAUUGGACAAUGGGCGAAAGCCUGAUCCAGCCAUGCCGCGUGUGUGAAGAAGGUCUUCGGAUUGUAAAGCACUUUAAGUUGGGAGGAAGGGCAGUAAGUUAAUACCUUGCUGUUUUGACGUUACCGACAGAAUAAGCACCGGCUAACUUCGUGCCAGCAGCCGCGGUAAUACGAAGGGUGCAAGCGUUAAUCGGAAUUACUGGGCGUAAAGUGCGCGUAGGUGGUUUUGUAAGUUGGAGGUGAAAUCCCCGGGCUCACCCUGGGAACUGCCUCCAAAACUGCAUGACUAGAGUACGGUAGAGGGUAGUGGAAUUUCCUGUGUAGCGGUGAAAUGCGUAGAUAUAGGAAGGAACACCAGUGGCGAAGGCGACUACCUGGACUGAUACUGACACUGAGGUGCGAAAGCGUGGGGAGCAAACAGGAUUAGAUACCCUAGUAGUCC
rnacentral:rRNA from 1 species